GACGAACGCUGGCGGCGUGCUUAACACAUGCAAGUCGAGCGGUAAGGCCUCCUUCGGGGGGUACACGAGCGGCGAACGGGUGAGUAACACGUGAGUAAUCUGCCCUUCCCUCUGGGAUAAGCACCGGAAACGGUGUCUAAUAUCGGAUAUGACCAGCCUACGCAUGUGGUGUUGGUGGAAAGUUUUUUCGGUGGGGGGUGUGCUCGCGGCCUAUCAGCUUGAUGGUGGGGUAAUGGCCGACGUUGGCGUCGACGGGUAGCCGGCCUGAGAGGGGGACCGGUCACAAGGGGACUGGGACACGGCCCAGACUCCUACGGGAGGCAGCAGUGGGGAAUAUUGGACAAUGGGCGGAAGCCUGAUCCAGCAACGCCGCGUGAGGGAUGAAGGCCUUCGGGUUGUAAACCUCUUUCAUCACCGACGAAGCCUUUGGGUGAUGGUAGGUGGAGAAGAAGCACCGGCCAACUACGUGCCAGCCGCCGCUGUAAGAC
rnacentral:rRNA from 1 species